rnacentral:misc_RNA from 1 species
GAUGAAGAACGUAGCGAAAUGCGAUAAGUAAUGUGAAUUGCAGAAUUCAGUGAAUCAUCGAAUCUUUGAACGCACCUUGCGCCUCUUGGUAUUCCGAGGGGCAUGCCUGUUUGAGUGUCAUCUACACCCUCAAGCUCUGCUUGGUGUUGGGCGUCUGUCCCGCCUUUGCGCGUGGACUCGCCCCAAAUUCAUUGGCAGCGGUCCUUGCCUCCUCUCGCGCAGCACAUUUGCGCUUCUCGAGGUGCGCGGGCCGCGUCCACGAAGCAACUAUUACCGUCUUUGACCUCGGAUCAGGUAGGGAUACCCGCUGAACUUAAGCAUAUCAAUAAGCGGAGGA